AAACACACACACAAAAGUGUAUUUGAAAACAAGACUGAAAGCUUUUGCACAUCUGACAAGGUAGACUUGUUUUACAGUAGAUGCCAUCCAUAUUCGGUCCUACCAAUAUUAUCACAAAUGAAACAUACUGUUUCUUACAAAGAUAUAGGCAUAAGUCAAGGACUAUGACUAACUAGAGUCAAAGGAAAGGUUAGAUUCCAAAUCUUAUCCCUUAGACCAAUUCAUAACAUAGGACUUAAAUUAAACCAUUCAGUCUUCUAAUGUAGUGGUUCUCAACCCGGCUUCUCAUCAGAAUCCCAGGAACUCUUUUAAAGAAAUUCCCAAUAACUAGGCUAUACCCUAAGUCUCUGGGGGUGGGAUCCAGGCAUGAGUAUUUUAAAGCUUCUCAGGUGAUUCCAAUGUGCAGCCAGACCCUGUCUCAAAUUCACCACAGCACUAGAGGCAGGUAACAAUUACUAGCAAAUUCCUCGGCCCAUCAAGCCCUCCAAGAAAGGGAGACCUGCUGGGCAACACUGGCUCUCACUGAUGCUAUCCUUUCACUCCACUUAAGAAUGACAUAAGUUAUCACUUUUGGUAUAAUUUUGAGACUUUCCAUAUGCCAUGGUGAUUUUUAGAGCAAUAUUUAAUCAGGUGAAUACCAGCAAAGACAGAAAAUACAGAAAAAGAAAUUUCCAUAAGGCAUGAUAUGAAUAAAUAAGUGAAAAAACAAUCUUGGGUUUAAAAGUAAAGCAUGAGAAUUUGAAGCCUGUGAAAUUUUAUUUAUACAAAAUAAAAAUAGCUAUUUAAAAAGAAUUGAUUUAAACUUAUGUUUUUCCAUUUUUCCUGCUCCUUGAACACGAAUCUGCUACCAACUCAGAAAGAUUUAAGAUAGGUAAUUACUAAAUAAACACUCUUUACCUCUCC